CGGAAAGGAUCGAUUCGAGAACUCCGAUAUGACUACAAGUAAAUUGACCGAAACGAAAAAAAUAAAGUGAACACAAGGAUUUACGUGGUUCGGCUUUAAUGCCUACGUCCACGGGCAGAGGCGAAAAGAAAUUUCACUAUAACAAGAUGAAGAUUACAAGUGUUUUACACUCAAGACACAACCCGAGAACCUCACAACUCUCAACCCCUAUAGAAAACCCGAAAGCUAAAAUCCUAGCUUUCAAAGAACAAG
rnacentral:lncRNA from 1 species